rnacentral:rRNA from 1 species
GGAUUGGUAAGUCAGGGGUGAAAUCCCACAGCUCAACUGUGGAACUGCCUUUGAUACUGUCAGUCUAGAGUAUAGUUGAAGUUGGCGGAAUGUGUCAUGUAGCGGUGAAAUGCUUAGAUAUGACACAGAACACCGAUCGCGAAGGCAGCUAGCUAAGCUAUAACUGACGCUCAUGCACGAAAGCGUGGGGAUCAAACAGGAUUAGAUACCCUGGUAGUCCACGCUGUAAACGAUGAUUACUCGAUGUUGGCGAUACACAGUCAGCGUCUGAGCGAAAGCAAUAAGUAAUCCACCUGGGGAGUACGAUCGCAAGAUUGAAACUCAAAGGAAUUGACGGGGGCCCGCACAAGCGGAGGAGCAUGUGGUUUAAUUCGAUGAUACGCGAGGAACCUUACCUGGGCUCGAACGUAAGAUGACUGUAGGUGAAAGCUUACAUCUCUUCGGAGCAUUUUACGAGGUGCUGCAUGGUUGUCGUCAGCUCGUGCCGUGAGGUGUCGGGUUAAGUCCCAUAACGAGCGCAACCCCUACCUUUAGUUGCCAUCAGGUCAUGCUGGGGACUCUAAAGGAACUGCCUACGCAAGUAGUGAGGAAGGCGGGGAUGACGUCAAAUCAGCACGGCCCUUACGUCCAGGGCUACACACGUGCUACAAUGGCCGAUACAGAGGGCAGCUACCUGGUGACAGGAUGCAAAUCUCCAAAGUCGGUCUCAGUUCGGAUCGGAGUCUGCAACCCGACUCCGUGAAGUUGGAUUCGCUAGUAAUCGCGCAUCAGCCAUGGCGCGGUGAAUACGUUCCCGGGCCUUGUACACACCGCCCGUCAAGCCAUGGAAGCUGGGGGGACCUAAAGUCGAUAACCGCAAGGAGUCGCCUAGGGUAAAACCAGUGACUGGGGCUAAGUCGUAACAAGGUAGCCG